rnacentral:rRNA from 1 species
GGAUUGCCCCAGUAACGGCGAGUGAAGCGGCAACAGCUCAGAUUUGAAAUCCGGCGCCCCCCCGGGGACGCCCGAGUUGUAAUCUGCAGAGGACGCUCCUGGCGCGGCGCCGUCCGAGUUCCCUGGAACGGGACGCCGCAGAGGGUGAGAGCCCCGUACGGUCGGACGCCCAGCCUGUGUGGAGCCCCUUCGGCGAGUCGAGUAGUUUGGGAAUGCUGCUCAAAACGGGAGGUAUACGCCUUCUAAAGCUAAAUACCGGCCAGAGACCGAUAGCGCACAAGUAGAGUGAUCGAAAGAUGAAAAGCACUUUGAAAAGAGGGUUAAACAGUACGUGAAAUUGUUGAAAGGGAAGCGCUCGCGGCCAGACUCGGGCCCGGGGGAUCAUCCGGCGCUCGCGCCGGUGCACUCCGCCGGGCCCCGGGCCAGCAUCGGCCCGCGGCGGGGGACAAAGGCGCCGGGAACGUGGCUCCCCAGGGAGUGUUAUAGCCCGGCGCGCAACGCCCCGCGGCGGGCCGAGGUUCGCGCGUCCGCAAGGAUGCUGGCGUAAUGGCCACCAGCGACCCGUCUUGAAACACGGACCAAGGAGUCGUCCUCGCAUGCGAGUGUUCGGGCGUCAAACCCGUGCGCGCAAUGAAAGUGAACGCGGGUGGGAGCCCCCCCCCCGGGGGCGCACCGCCGACCGAUCCUGAAGUUCACGGAUGGAUUUGAGUAGGAGCAUGCGGGGCCGGACCCGAAAGAAGGUGAACUAUGCCUGUGUAGGGUGAAGCCAGAGGAAACUCUGGUGGAGGCUCGCAGCGGUUCUGACGUGCAAAUCGAUCGUCAAACAUGGGCAUGGGGGCGAAAGACUAAUCGAACCUUCUAG